AUUGAACGCUGGCGGCAGGCUUAACACAUGCAAGUCGAGCGGUAACAGAGAGAAGCUUGCUUCUCUGCUGACGAGCGGCGGACGGGUGAGUAAUGCCUAGGAAUCUGCCUAGUAGUGGGGGAUAACUUGCCGAAAGGUAAGCUAAUACCGCAUACGUCCUACGGGAGAAAGGAGGGGACCUUCGGGCCUUUCGCUAUUAGAUGAGCCUAGGUCGGAUUAGUUAGUUGGUGAGGUAAUGGCUCACCAAGACCGCGAUCCGUAACUGGUCUGAGAGGAUGAUCAGUCACACUGGAACUGAGACACGGUACAGACUCCUACGGGAGGCAGCAGUGGGGAAUAUUGGACAAUGGGGAGAACCCUGAUCCAGCCAUGCCGCGUGUGUGAUGAAGGUCUUAGGAUUGUAAAGCACUUUAAGUUGGGAGGAAGAGCAGUUAACUAAUAUUUGACUGUUUUGACGUUACCGACAGAAUAAGCACCGGCUAACUUCGUGCCAGCCGCCGCGGUAA
rnacentral:rRNA from 1 species